rnacentral:lncRNA from 1 species
CUGGAUUUUGACUGACACCCCACAAUUAGGAGUGCAGACAUGUUAAUUCAGCUUGUGACUGAAUGGUACUAGCAAAUGGAGUAAUAUUCCACCAAGAUUAAAUAUGUGUGUCCUGAAAGACUAUAUUUCAAAAGAAUAUAGUUAUUCUAACAAGGAAUUGAUUUGGAUGUACAAGUAUACUAUUAUUCAAAUAACUUUCAAAUAUAACAGAGCUUAGAGAAAAAAAAUGCCAUUUUCUACACCAGCAGAGCAUGUAAUAGUUUGUCACUACAAGUAAAGUUUAAUUUGUACAAAGGCUCAAUGUAUCUUUUUUCUGCAGGUUGCAUUCUUCCAGGCCUACUGUCAAAUCCACUGUGGCACAGGCUGGUCUGCUUCUUCCGUCCCACCCUGCUCUUUUAUCAUCUUCUAUCUGGCUUGUGAAGCUUCAAAAAAGAAUGAAAGAGAAGUCUUCAUUAUUUGCUCAGCAACUGUGCUGCUCACGACUUUCUCAAAUUUAAAGAAAUGAAGAUGGACUUAUAUUCAGCAACUUCCUUGAAUGGAAACUGUCAACAUUUUGGGGAGAAGAACCACCGGAAGAGUAAUCACAGCUAUGCAAUCCAGAAGGCAAGAACACCAGGGACAAAAUCAUGUCAAGUCAAACUCCCUGAAAAUACUUUCCUGGCAAUCAAAGAAAGUGUGUCUUAAUCAAGAAGUAACAGCCAUAGUCCCAUCCGUUAGGGUUUAAGAACUGGGUUUUUGUUCUGGGUGAACUUGAGGAGAUUUUUUGUUUUUGAUGAAUGAAUAUAGUGAACCUACAAAACCCAUUUAAACAUUUUUUCAAACAGAUAGGAAAAGAAAAGUCCUACCUCUAACAUUUAUUCCACACUCAAGACAUCAUUUUCUAUGGGAUAUUUUUUCCCACAUUAGUUAUUACAGUAAUGUUAAGAUCUGUUUGAACUACAGAGACAUUAAAACUAUGAGACCUACCAUUCUAUCAUCUUAUUCCUUCAGUUGAUACAAAUAAACUGAAGCAUUGUUUACUUGGCA